UACGUAGGGGGCAAGCGUUGUCCGGAAUCAUUGGGCGUAAAGCGCGUGUAGGCGGCCUUGUAAGUCCGUUCUGAAAGUCCGGGGCUCAACCCCGGGAGGCGGAUGGAUACUGCAAGGCUCGAGUACGGAAGAGGCGAGUGGAAUUCCUGGUGUAGCGGUGAAAUGCGCAGAUAUCAGGAGGAACACCAAUGCGAAGGCAGCUCGCUGGGACGUUACUGACGCUGAGACGCGAAAGCGUGGGGAGCAAACAGG
rnacentral:rRNA from 1 species